rnacentral:lncRNA from 8 species
AGUGGUUGUCAGUGCCGUUUAAGAUGAGAUGACGGAGGAUGAUUCUUUACAUUUUUUUGAGCAUGGCCUUUAUUUGUCACAUGCACCAAAUACAACAGUUGUAGACCUUACUGUGAAGUAAGUAUUUCACUGUAAGGUCUACACCGGUUGUAUUCGUCGCAGUCUCUGCUCAGACAUUUUUUUUUUUAUCAUCCUCCGUCAUCUUAAAUGGCACUGACUGCCACUACUGCCACUACUACAGGACGGUACUUAAAAACAAAAUGUUUGGAAUAUUGCAUCCAAGUGUGUGUGUGUGCAUGUGUGUUUCCCCAUUGACUAAUGUAUUUUCUCCUGUGUGUCAUCAGAGCCGGGGGCCAGUGGUGAAUCAAGGUGGAGAGACAGCGCCAGAGGUUACUGAGAGCAGAGUGGAGGCUGGACCCCUGUGGCCACAGACACCAGCAGAGAGGCCAGAGAUACCAACAGGACCAGAGAGACCACAAGAACUAGCAAUCGCAGCUAUGAUUCCAGUGACCACUUUAGACCUCAGCCCCAGCCCUCUCAGUGCAGACCUCAGUCCCAGCCUCAUCGAAGGGGGAGACCUACUGGCCUGCUGUGAUCUGCUGUCCCUGAAGAGUGACACUGUGUCCCUGGCCAGGAGGCUGUGGAUGUGA